CCUACGGGAGACAGCAGUAGGGAAUAUUGCUCAAUGGGGGAAACCCUGAAGCAGCAACGCCGCGUGGAGGAUGAAGGUUUUCGGAUUGUAAACUCCUUUUGUUAGAGAAGAUAAUGACGGUAUCUAACGAAUAAGCACCGGCUAACUCCGUGCCAGCAGCCGCGGUAAUACGGAGGGUGCAAGAGUUACUCGGAAUCACUGGGCGUAAAGAGCGCGUAGGCGGGUUAGCAAGUCAGAUGUUAAAUCCUAGGGCUUAACCAUAGAACUGCAUUUGAAACUGUUAUUCUAGAGUAUGGGAGAGGUAGGUGGAAUUCUUGGUGUAGGGGUAAAAUCCGUAGAGAUCAAGAGGAAUACUCAUUGCGAAGGCGACCUGCUAGAACAUAACUGACGCUGAUGCGCGAAAGCGUGGGGAGCAAACAAGAUUAGAUACCCCAGUAGUC
rnacentral:rRNA from 1 species